rnacentral:rRNA from 1 species
CCUACGGGGGGCAGCAGUGGGGAAUAUUGCGCAAUGGGCGAAAGCCUGACGCAGCGACGCCGCGUGAGGGAUGAAGGUCUUCGGAUCGUAAACCUCUGUCAGCAGGGAAGAACGGUCACUGUGCUAAUCAACAGUGAAUUGACGGUACCUGCAAAGGAAGCACCGGCUAACUCCGUGCCAGCAGCCGCGGUAAUACGGAGGGUGCGAGCGUUAAUCGGAAUUAAUGGGCGUAAAGCGCUCGUAGGCGGUAUGUCAAGUCAAGGGUGAAAUCCCCGGGCUCAACGUGGGAACUGCCUUUGAAACUGGCAAACUAGAGUGUGUGAGGGGAAAGUGGAAUUCCCGGUUGAGGAGUGAAAUCCGUAGAUAUCUGGAGGAACAUCAGUGGCGAAGGCGACUAUCUGGCACAUAACUGACGCUGAGGAGCGAAAGCGUGGGUAGCAAACAGGAUUAGAUACCCGUGUAGUC